rnacentral:tRNA from 1 species
GCUAGCGCGUUCGGCUGUUAACCGGAAGGCUGGAGGUUCGAGCCCUCCCGGAGGCC